rnacentral:rRNA from 1 species
GUUUGAUCAUGGCUCAGAUUGAACGCUGGCGGCAGGCUUAACACAUGCAAGUCGAGCGGGGGAAGGUAGCUUGCUACUGGACCUAGCGGCGGACGGGUGAGUAAUGCUUAGGAAUCUGCCUAUUAGUGGGGGACAACAUCUCGAAAGGGAUGCUAAUACCGCAUACGUCCUACGGGAGAAAGCAGGGGAUCUUCGGACCUUGCGCUAAUAGAUGAGCCUAAGUCGGAUUAGCUAGUUGGUGGGGUAAAGGCCUACCAAGGCGACGAUCUGUAGCGGGUCUGAGAGGAUGAUCCGCCACACUGGGACUGAGACACGGCCCAGACUCCUACGGGAGGCAGCAGUGGGGAAUAUUGGACAAUGGGGGGAACCCUGAUCCAGCCAUGCCGCGUGUGUGAAGAAGGCCUUAUGGUUGUAAAGCACUUUAAGCGAGGAGGAGGCUACUUUAGUUAAUACCUAG